rnacentral:rRNA from 1 species
AUUGAACGCUGGCGGCAGGCCUAACACAUGCAAGUCGAACGGUAACAGGUUAAGCUGACGAGUGGCGAACGGGUGAGUAAUGCAUCGGAACGUGCCCGGUCGUGGGGGAUAACGCAGCGAAAGCUGCGCUAAUACCGCAUACGAUCUAAGGAUGAAAGCGGGGGACCGUAAGGCCUCGCGCGAUCGGAGCGGCCGAGGGAAGAUUAGUUAGUUGGUGGGGUAAAGGCUCACCAAGCCAACGAUCUGUAGCUGGUCUGAGAGGACGACCAGCCACACUGGGACUGAGACACGGCCCAGACUCCUACGGGAGGCAGCAGUGGGGAAUUUUGGACAAUGGGCGAAAGCCUGAUCCAGCAAUGCCGCGUGCAGGAAGAAGGCCUUCGGGUUGUAAACUGCUUUUGUACGGAGCGAAAAGGUCUCCUCUAAUACAGGGGGCUCAUGACGGUACCGUAAGAAUAAGCACCGGCUAACUACGUGCCAGCAGCCGCCGCCG